GAUAAAAAGAAGUAAAUAAAAUUUAAUAUUAGCUGUAAAUUUAAUUAAAUAAGGAGAAUAAUUUGUAUAUUUAAAUGAUUUUAUGGUUUAAGG
rnacentral:sRNA from 1 species